CGUACACUCCUGCGGGAGGCAGCAGUGGGGAAUUUUGGACAAUGGGGGCAACCCUGAUCCAGCAAUGCCGCGUGAGUGAAGAAGGCCUUCGGGUUGUAAAGCUCUUUUGUCAGGGAAGAAACGGUGGUGGCGAAUAACUACUACUAAUGACGGUACCUGAAGAAUAAGCACCGGCUAACUACGUGCCAGCAGCCGCGGUAAUACGUAGGGUGCAAGCGUUAAUCGGAAUUACUGGGCGUAAAGCGUGCGCAGGCGGUUGUGUAAGUCAGAUGUGAAAUCCCCGGGCUCAACCUGGGAAUUGCAUGUGAGACUGCACGGCUAGAGGGUGUCAGAGGGGGGUAGAAUUCCACGUGUAGCAGUGAAAUGCGUAGAUAUGUGGAGGAAUACCGAUGGCGAAGGCAGCCCCCUGGGAUAACACUGACGCUCAUGCACGAAAGCGUGGGGAGCAAACAGGAUUAGAAACCCGGGUAGUCCC
rnacentral:rRNA from 1 species